ensembl:lncRNA
GAAACAGUCAUUUGGGACCUGGAGCGUGUCUUGACUGUGACGCCUCGUCGGAGGGUAUCAACUUGCAUUAUUUUCUCUAGGACGUCUGCAACCUGUCUCUUGUUGAAUGUCAGAGUAAUGGGAAGUGCCAGUGACAAGACGGCGUAUUACUCCUGAUUAAGUGCCGUGUCAACCUAAUUAGCAGAGUAAUUAUAAGGAGAACAGCGGGAGAGACGGAAGACCGAGGGGAGGAGAUGUACAAUCGAGACGGCUCUCAGAAGAUGAGGGGAGUUUGGCGGAGAAACCAUGGUUCGUGAGCCGAGGCGGGGACGCGGGGCGAGCAGCAGAUAGAGGCGGACCGCGGCCUGAGCGGACCCAGAACAGGGUGCAAGGAAGUCACAUUUCCAGUCUCCACGAAUAGAAAAGGAGCUGCAUUAACUGGAUUAAUCUCCAAGUUUCCCGUUGAAGAAAUAUACAAACAUACAAAGAAAUAGAGUCCCUAAACGGACAUAGGUUUGAAAACGAUCUUCCACUUUCAGGUCUUCAUUUUCUUAGAGGAAUAAAGAGAAUUCUUUAAUUUUUUAAAGAUUUUUUGAAAUUCCUUCAGAGAAAAAUUUUUUUUUUUUUUGCCAACUAUGAAUAAUAAA